rnacentral:lncRNA from 1 species
UUUGUCUUCGAUUACUCACCCAAUGUUGAGUUGAAUUCUUGAAGAAAACUUAGUUUUUCGGUGAAGGAUGAAUCAAAAAGCAGAGAAAAAUUGUUAAAUCAUAAUUGAGUUUAUCAAGUAGUCCAGUACAGCCCAAACAUGUAUGUGCUAAAACCUUUCAAUUUGUGUACUUGUUCAGCAAAGUAGUGAGUAGUAAAUGAAAUUUGGAUUUUACUGCACGAGUUGUGUGAGGGUUUGUAAAUGGAUGUUUUCAUGUAGUUUUGUCCACAUUUACUUCAACUCUACAAGACUUUUCUCUGUAUUUCAUAUACAAAUGUUCACGUGGGAUAAUUAUUGCUGCAAAAAGUGGAACUUCUUCUUUAAGUAGAUACUUAUAUGUGGUUUGUUUCUAUGAGCAGAACCAUCUUACACAUCUUCACGAGAUCUUCUAGCAGUGAUCAUCAUUGCGAUCAUCGUGCUCAUCUCCCUGCUUGUCUGUGUUUGGUAAGUCUCACACAUUAAAGCAGAUAAUGUUUCAGUUACAGCCACACUGAAGAUGAAGGCACAGAUGAUCUGUUUUGUGGGUUUUACUCCUCUGCACCAGCGUCUCAAAGAGCACAUUUUCCACAUUACAUUUACAAACUGUAUUUCUCUCUGAUGAUUUAUUUUACAGUACUCUCGUGUGUUGGAGAUGGUUUAAGUCGACACGUUCAACUCAACAACCGACUCAGAGUCAAACAGCUGAAGAGCUGGCUGUUAAAGAGCCAGCACCAAAAACAGAAGAAGACAUCCAUUACGGAGAGAUCGACUUCUCCAAGCGGAGACCUGAACAGCCCUCAGAGCAAGACGGUGCACUGCAGCAGGAAACUCUGUACGCACAGGUCAAAGUGCCCGAGACAGCAAACCGCUCAACACCGACUGAUGACGAGGCGCUCUACGCCCAAGUGAAGAGGAAAUGAGGGUUGUUUGUGUCAAGACGCAGAAAACAUUUGAAUAUAAUUCAUGAUAUGUACCUUUAUGUUUAUUACAUAUAUAUCUAAAUUAUAUUACUGUACCGUAUGUUUUUAUGUUUGUAGAAAAAGACACCUGGACAUGAAAAAGUCAUUUUCACUGCUUACAGUUCAAUAAAGGGAAACUCCAAACCUCCACCCCCUGCAGCUUUCUUAUGUCAGUUAUGUCCACAUGUUAAUAGUUACGUGCUGAG